AUACGGAAGGUCCGGGCGUUAUCCGGAUUUAUUGGGUUUAAAGGGAGCGCAGGCGGAGAUGCAAGCGUGACGUCAAAUUUCGGGGCUCAACCCCGUCUCGCGUCGCGAACUGCGUCCCUUGGUUGCGGGAAGGGGAGGCGGAACUCGCGGGGUAGCGGGGAAAUGCAUAGAUAUCACGAAGAACUCCGAUCGCGAAGGCAGCCUUCCGGCCCGUCAACGACGCUCAUGCUCGAAGGUGCGGGUAUCAAACAGGAUUAGAUACCCUGGUAGUCCGCACAGUAAACGAUGGACACCCGCGGUUUGGCCUGUAUGGCUGAGCCGCCAAGCGAAAGCGUUAAGUGUCCCACCUGGGGAGUACGCCGGCAACGGUGAAACUCAAAGGAAUUGACGGGG
rnacentral:rRNA from 1 species